GGAAUAAAAAAAUCCGUCUCUUUAUUUUUAAUUAAAAAAACUAAGAACCGGUUCUUAAAUAAGAGUUUUAAGAGCCGGUUCUUAAUUUUUUUUUAAUUAAAAGUUAAAAGACGAAUUUUUAUAUUCC
rfam:Brassica napus, WGS project CCCW01000000 data, contig: 30167